rnacentral:lncRNA from 1 species
UAUCUAUGCAUUUUAAUCCACUAAGCCUAAUUUGAAUUGGACCUAAAACUAUUAUUCAUUUUGUCCAAAACUGUUUUUGGACUUAAAUACAAAAAAUUUAAACGUGUCUACCCAAAAGAAAAAACUAUGGAGCCAUAGGGACCUCAAUGAUAAAAACUAUUUAAACCCUAAACCCAUCUUUUUCUUCUUGCCCAGCCGCCACUAGCACAAAGCCCGCCACUGUUCAGGGACGCCAGCCAUCUCCGACGCAUCUCUGACACCGAGCCGCCAUCGCCACGUCACCGAAAACCCAGAAACUCGCGUGCGCAACUUGUUGUACGUGCAGCGCGCGCUGCUGGCCAGGCUGGUCCCGUGCGCUGCUUGCUGCGUGAGCAGCGUGUGCCAGCGGGCUGCUUGCUGUUUGUGCAGCGUGCGCUAGCUGCUGCUGCAUGCGCAGCGUGCACUGCUGGCAGCUUGCGUGCUUGCGUUGCUGGUUGGUGGCUGCUGCUGAAAAAUCCAGCCUUCGUUCCUUUGAUGUUCCUUUAAUCAAUCGUCGCGUGAUUAAUCUUCAGCGAUUUACAAAUUUCCUAGGCCAAUUUUGGCUUUAAAAAA